rnacentral:rRNA from 1 species
CCUACGGGAGGCAGCAGUAAGGGAUAUUGGUCAAUGGGGGAAACCCUGAACCAGCAACGCCGCGUGAGGGAAGACGGUUUUAGGAUUGUAAACCCCUGUUCUCUGUGAAGAUGAUGACGGUAGCAGAGGAGGAAGCUCCGGCUAACUACGUGCCAGCAGCCGCGGUAAUACGGAGGGAGCGAGCGUUGUCCGGAUUUACUGGGGGUAAAGGGUGCGUAGGCGGGUUGGUAAGUCAGGCGUGAAAUCCAUGGGCUUAACCCACGAACUGCCAUUGAAACUGUCGGGCUUGAGUGGAGGAGAGGUAGGCGGAAUGCCUGGUGUAGCGGUGAAAUGCGUAGAGAUCAAGAGGAACACCAAUUGCGAAGGCGGCCUACUGG